rnacentral:rRNA from 1 species
UACGGAGGGUGCAAGCGUUGUCCGGAUUUAUUGGGUUUAAAGGGUGCGUAGGCGGCCAAUUAAGUCAGUGGUGAAAUUUUCCGGCUCAACCGGGAGACUGCCAUUGAUACUGGUUGGCUUGAGUUAUGGAGGGGUACAUGGAAUUUACGGUGUAGCGGUGAAAUGCAUAGAUACCGUAAGGAACACCGAUAGCGAAGGCAUUGUACUGGCCAUAAACUGACGCUGAGGCACGAAAGCGUGGGUAGCGAACAGG